rnacentral:misc_RNA from 1 species
AACGCACGAGACCUGCGGACCUGCGGAGGGAUCAUUACCGAGUGAGGGCCCUCUGGGUCCAACCUCCCACCCGUGUUUAUCGUACCUUGUUGCUUCGGCGGGCCCGCCGCAAGGCCGCCGGGGGGCUUCCGUCCCCGGGUCCGCGCCCGCCGAAGACACCUGUGAACGCUGUAUGAAGAUUGCAGUCUGAGCGAAAAGCUAAAUCGUUAAAACUUUCAGCAAUGGAUCUCUAGAUCGGAA